AGCUCCAGUAGCGUAUAUUAAAGUUGUUGCAGUUAAAAAGCUCGUAGUUGGAUUUCUGGUUUGAUAAGCCUGGCCCGCCGCGGUUACGUGUGUGAGUGCCGGUGUUUGUCUGCCAUCCUUCUGGUCAACGUGUCUACCCUUCACUGGGCCGGAUACGCGAUCCAGAUCAUUUACUUUGAAAAAAUUAGAGUGUUUAAAGCAGGCUUUUUGCUAUGAAUACAUUAGCAUGGAAUAAUAAUUUAGGACUUUGGCCCUAUUUUGUUGGUUUCUAGAGCUGAAGUAAUGAUUGAUAGGGAUAGUUGGGGGUGCUCGAAUUCAGCGGCCAGAGGUGAAAUUCUUGGAUUCGCUGAAGACGAACUCAUGCGAAAGCAUUCACCAAGGAUGUCUUCU
rnacentral:rRNA from 1 species